rnacentral:lncRNA from 1 species
UGUCACGAAAGUCCUCUCGAGAAAGGAAAACCCGAAAUAAUCCGAGUAUUGUCGAAGACAACCGAGACCACGAGACCAUGUGGUUGAUAGCGGGAUGAUGACAGAGCGCUGUCAGUGUCAGUCCGACUAUCGUCGAGUACGGUUUACGUUAAUUUAAUGAAUUUUAAUUCGUAUUUUAUUGAUAUGUUUUUUAUUUCGUUUUUUUUUUCUUUCUUAUAAUUAAUUAACUAAACUCGCACACGUACCGAAUAUACCGAAUAUUCUUAUUAUUAAUUAACUUUUUAUAUUACAAUUUAUUAUUUUAAUAUAUAUAAUUUUAUAUUUUUUUUUAUAUAUAUAUAUAUAUAUACAUAAUCGAGAUCGAUCGCAGAACUAUCGAGUGAUAGAAGAAGUUUUUUCGAAGAGGAACACCAGCAGCAUUAGCAGGAGGAGGGGGAGGAGGAGAAGAAAGGAGGGUGGAUUUUUUUCGUCUAAAACAGUUCAUAGCAGUACGAGAUUAGGAGAUCCGUUCAAGGUUACGAAUCAUCGUUCAACAAAUACGACAUUUUGCUUCUUAACCGAUACGAGGUCAACGUGAAACUUACUACCACUGCUGUGCAUUUUUCUGUCCGUCUGUCCGUCUGUCUGCACGGCUGUUUAUCUCUCUCUUCUCUUUCUUCUCUCUCUCUCUCUCUUUCUCUCUCUUCCUCACACACGCACGAACACGAACACAAGCACAAACAACGUUUUAUACUUUCGAGGUGAGUCGGUUUAAUUCAAAAACGUUUCCAUUUUUGGAAAGAAACAUCUCGUUUACGAAUGAAACGAAAAAAUAUAAGCCAAGUUUUACACGACACAACCAGCAGCAGCAGCAGCAGCAUUUUACUUGAAUUGGUUUUAUUUUUUUUUAUUUUUAAAUAUAUAUGCGAUUAAUAUAUCCAACCAAAUGAUUACAUUUUCUUUCAGCGUAUAGUUGUCCAUUUAUUUUUUUGCUUUUUAAAAGUUGAUCUUUCGACGAACGCGCGGACAAACGUUUUUCCUCGACCUGGUUUUCCCAUACCGCAUAUAUCAAGAAUCCGACGAUUAGAUGCGAUAUUUGAUUAGUAUGACGUGCGCCAGCGCGCGUAUCUAUAAACAUGUUGUGUUUUUGUUUCUCUAAUGUGUAUAAUAUAAAAAUGUAUCGCGAGAGUUUCGCUUGAAAAGUAUUUUCGUUUUCGAAUUCUCUAUCGUGUAUUUUACGAAUUUGCAGACGCCCUCCUCCCCCCACCCCAUCCCCCUUCGCACUCCGUCUCCUCCCCCAUCCCACCCCCUACUACUCAACUUUUACCCACCUCCCCAGUUCGCGCAAGUUCAAAGCGUACGAGAAAAAGGGUUGUUUAUCAUUUAUUGGAUUGCAUAGCAUAUUUAUUGUUACACUUAACUUAAUCUCUUUGUUUCUCUCUCUCUCUCUCUCUCUUAUUUCUUCUCGUAAAUUUGUCGUUUACGAUCUUUUCGUAGAAAAAAAUUUCGCAUUGGGAAAGACGGUGGGACAAGUAUUUGGACAUUUAAAUAGGGUAGUUUCGAUCUAGAACAGAGUUUAAAGAGAACAAAAAGUAUAUAUAUAUAUAUCAUCGAGAAAUGCAUUGGAUGGGUGAGAUAAGGGUUGGGGGGAAGCGGGUGGUGGUGUGGUGAUGUAUACUUUAUGUGGGAACAAAGUUACGUUAUCAUCUUGUUUACGUUCUUUGUUUCCACCUCGGUUAGAAAAUAAGAUGGAAAAUAUAUAACUCUACCGUUCGGUUUCUUUAUCUUCGUUUAUCCGUAAAUCUAUGCGUGUAUGCGUGUUUUCAGUAUUGUACACAUUUAAGGAAAAUAGUUGGAAUGGUAUCGUUUAUGGUUGAACUUAUUGUUAAAGAAAAAGAAAUAAUAGAAGAAGAGAGAGAAGAAGAA